rnacentral:rRNA from 1 species
UACGUAGGGAGCAAGCGUUGUCCGGAAUCAUUGGGCGUAAAGCGCGCGUAGGCGGCCCUGUAAGUCCGCUGUGAAAGUCAAAGGCUCAACCUUUGAAAGCCGGUGGAUACUGCAGGGCUAGAGUCCGGAAGAGGCGAGUGGAAUUCCUGGUGUAGCGGUGGAAUGCGCAGAUAUCAGGAAGAACACCCGUGGCGAAGGCGGCUCUCUGGGACGGUACUGACGCUGAGACGCGAAAGCGUGGGGAGCGAACAGG